CUGCCCCGCCUGCCGAGCAUGCGCAUGCCCAGCGCCUGCCCUGUGCGUCCCGGGAAGCCGGGCGGGAGCCUGCGGCUUCGGACGCCUACGACACGCUGUGCGUGGGGGCGCGGAGUGCGGGGGAUGUAGUUCCGGUUGGGAGGGGCGUGGCUGAGGACUGUGAAGCAAUCGGGGCGAGGCCGGGUGUCUGUUCAACUCUCCCGCGUAUCGUCUGUUUCUUCGGCGGCGGACAGUGUUCUGUAAUGUGUCUCCCGUUGCCCGAGCUAAAGGUUUUCCUCGACGGAGUCUUUAGAAUACCGUGGUAGAGGCAGUCUCCACACCACUGUGCUCGAACAGCUCUAUGAAGAGGCCUAUGUGGAGAGGAGAAAAAGCCUCCACCAACAGCCAGCACCAACUUGCCAGCCAUAUAUGAACUCUCGCUAUGUUGCCUCGGCUGGUCUCAAACUCCUGGGCUCAAGUGAUCCUCCCACUUCGGCCUCCCAAACUCAAAGCACCUGUCAUAAAAAUAUUAACUUGUAAUAAAAGUGUUUAGUAACACUAAUAUGUGAUGGCAAUUUCAGGAAAGUCAAUGUUCUGAGCAAGAAGAACAAGGAACAGAAGAGAAUUAUCCUCAAAUUAGAAGGAGUAGGACCUACAUGGUAAAGAAAAAAUUUACGUGCAAGGCAGAUGAGGAAGUAAGAGAGCAUCCAGCCCCUUCACACAACUUCAUUCUCUGUCUUACCGAAAGAAUGUGAAAUGUGGUGGUAGCUUUACUGGGGACAGGAGAGGUGCCAGAAGUUUGAAGAUGGACUAAUCUCCUUGUUUUCUAAAAGAAGAACCUAUAAGUCUCUGAGCACAUUUUUCUUUGGCAAAAUUCUGGAAUGGAUAAUUAGACAAAUGGUUUGUGAAUCUUUAGAAAAGUGGCAAAAACAAGGCACAGCAUAAAUUCACUAAAAAAUAA
rnacentral:lncRNA from 1 species